AUUGAACGCUGGCGGCAGGCCUAACACAUGCAAGUCGAACGGUAACAGGAAGCAGCUUGCUGCUUUGCUGACGAGUGGCGGACGGGUGAGUAAUGUCUGGGAAACUGCCUGAUGGAGGGGGAUAACUACUGGAAACGGUAGCUAAUACCGCAUAACGUCGCAAGACCAAAGAGUGGGACCUUCGGGCCUCUUGCCAUCGGAUGUGCCCAGAUGGGAUUAGCUAGUAGGUGGGGUAACGGCUCACCUAGGCGACGAUCCCUAGCUGGUCUGAGAGGAUGACCAGCCACACUGGAACUGAGACACGGUCCAGACUCCUACGGGAGGCAGCAGUGGGGAAUAUUGCACAAUGGGCGCAAGCCUGAUGCAGCCAUGCCGCGUGUAUGAAGAAGGCCUUCGGGUUGUAAAGUACUUUCAGCGGGGAGGAAGGGAGUAAAGUUAAUACCUUUGCUCAUUGACGUUACCCGCAGAAGAAGCACCGGCUAACUCCGUG
rnacentral:rRNA from 1 species